GACGAACGCUGGCGGCGUGCCUAAUACAUGCAAGUCGGACGCUGAAGAGAGGAGCUUGCUCCUCUUGGAUGAGUUGCGAACGGGUGAGUAACGCGUAGGUAACCUGCCUAGUAGCGGGGGAUAACUAUUGGAAACGAUAGCUAAUACCGCAUAACAAAGGAUGACACAUGUCUCUUAUUUGAAAGGGGCUAUUGCUCUACCACAAGAAGGACCUGCGUCGUAUUAGCCAGUUGGGGAGGUAACGGCUUUACUAAGCGACGGUACAUAGCCGGCCUGGGGGGGGGGAUGGGCACACUGGGACUGAGACACGGCCCAGGAUCCUACGGGAGGCAGGAGGAAGGGAUCCUCGGCAAUUGGGGGAACGCUUACCGGAGCACGGCGCGGUGAGUAAUGAGGUUUUCGGAUCGUAAAACUCUGUUGAUUAGGAAGAACGAAUGUGGGAGUUGAAAGUGCACGCUGUGACGGUAGCUUACCAGAAAGGGACGGCUAACUACGUG
rnacentral:rRNA from 1 species